rnacentral:rRNA from 1 species
CCUACGGGAGGCAGCAGUGGGGAAUAUUGGACAAUGGGGGCAACCCUGAUCCAGCCAUGCCGCGUGUGUGAAGAAGGCCCUAGGGUUGUAAAGCACUUUAAGCAGGGAAGAAAAGCGCCGGGUUAAUACCCCGAGCGUCUUGACGGUACCUGCAGAAUAAGCACCGGCUAAUUCCGUGCCAGCAGCCGCGGUA